GUCCUAGCUGUAAACGAUGAUAACUAGCUAUAGGAGGUAUCGACCCCUUCUGUGGCGACGCUAACGCAUUAAGUUAUCCGCCUGGGGAGUACGGCCGCAAGGUUAAAACUCAAAGGAAUUGACGGGGGCCCGCACAAGCGGUGGAGCAUGUGGUUUAAUUCGACGCUACGCGAAGAACCUUACCUGGGCUCGAACGACUGGUAGUACCUCUUUUGAAAGGGAGAGGGAUCCGCAAGGAAGCCAGCCGAGGUGCUGCAUGGUUGUCGU
rnacentral:rRNA from 1 species